GCUUACGGCCAUACCACCCUGAGCAUGGCCGAUCUCGUCUGAUCUCGGAAGCUAAGCAAAGUUGGGCUUGGUUAUUUCUUGGAUGGGAGCCCGCCUGGGAAUACCAGGUGCUGUAAGCU
ensembl:rRNA 5S_rRNA 5S ribosomal RNA